UACAGAGGGGGCAAGCGUUAUUCGGAAUUAUUGGGCGUAAAGGGCGCGUAGGCGGCCUGGCAAGUGGAAGGUGAAAUCCCUCGGCUUAACCGAGGAACUGCCUUCCAAACUGCUUGGCUUGAGUCCGGGAGAGGUGAGUGGAAUUCCCAGUGUAGCGGUGAAAUGCGUAGAGAUCGGGAGGAACACCCGUGGCGAAGGCGGCCAUCUGGACCAGCACUGACGCUGAGGCACGAAAGCGUGGGGAGCAAACAGG
rnacentral:rRNA from 1 species